rnacentral:tRNA from 13 species
GGCGCUGUGGCUUAGUUGGUUAAAGUGCCUGUCUAAUAAACAGGAGAUCGCGAGUUCGAACCUCGACGGUGCCA